GAAACAAACAGGUCGAAGAGGCAGGGAUGCAGCCAGUAAAGGAGGAAGAGUGACAGUCGACAUAAUUAUGUCCAGGAGUUUUCACCCGACCCCUUAAACCACUUGAAGAGGAAUGGAUGGAUACUUUUUGUCUUUCAGAUAAGCAUACAAAUUUCUGAAUAUGCCUGCAGACGCAGUGAUGGAUAAGGCAGUCUCAACCUAUCAAGCCAUUUGUUAACAACAUUUGAAGAACUACUGUGAAAGCAUUCAGGAAUUUAAAUAUAUAAGAAUCGUCAGUGACUUUGGGGCUGUAAACAGAAUUUUGAAUUUGAAUGCAUUCAUGUAAAGACAUAUCAAAUAUCUAGAAUGAACUAUAAAAAAGGAAAAAAAAAAAUGGGUCAUCCUGUAACAAAUUAGGCCCUUAUAGAAGCCUCAACUCUAUCUGUAGAGGCAGUAAUAAAAAUUAAAGCACUUCAUAUAACCAUUCAUUAUCGGAAAUGCACCAAACGAGAAAACAAGCACUCCUGUACUGCUAGAAAGCAGUACCCAGAUUCAAGUAGGACAAUGACUGAAACCAUCCAUACCUAAACCAACCCCCCCGAUAGCCCCACUUGUGAUUGAAAAUAUAACCUAUACACUGGGUAAUGGCCUAGUCUCAGAUGAAACAGAAGCCCAAAUGUUUUUAACCCCCCAGAUAAAGAAGAAUCAUCUCUUGAUCCAGAUCAACCUGAUGCUGCCCACUCCUUGCACAAAAAAACUGUUUUUGACUCUCUGCUAACAGAUAUUCUUCAACAAAGACUCGUAGUUUAGUUGGACCAAGAAAA